rnacentral:lncRNA from 1 species
UUGUUGAUCAUCGGCGCGAGAAGAGUCUAGGGUUGCAGAUAGUGAAUCUGAUGAGAGUUGAGCCAUUAUUUGUUGAUUGAUCAAUCAAUCCCAGGGCUUUGUUUUCAGUUUUACUGAAAUUCAGGUGGAUCUGAUCUAGUAUUUUGGGUAAAUUUUUUCUUUCUUGUCACCAUCUCGUUUACAGUCACUGGAUUGGAAUUGUCAGUUAAGAUCUUCCGGAGUUCCUUGGCCCAUCAGAAUUCUGAACUUAAAGAUUUGGAACUUUUGCAAUCGAUACAUCCGAAGCUCUGGAGACCCAUUAUUUUACACAGGUGCAUGAUUGUAAAGCUCUUACAACCUUUUGAUGGCCGCUUGAAUAGUCAAGCCACUUUUCUAAUCCACUGGAGGAUUACCGAACGGAUUACACAGGGG